rnacentral:rRNA from 1 species
UACGGGGGGGAGCAAGCGUUGUUCGGAUUUAUUGGGCGUAAAGAGCGUGUAGGCGGCUGGGUAGGUCCGUUGUGAAAACUCGAGGCUCAACCUCGAGACGCCGAUGGAAACCCCCCAGCUAGAGUCCGGAAGAGGAGAGUGGAAUUCCUGGUGUAGCGGUGAAAUGCGCAGAUAUCAGGAAGAACACCCGUGGCUAAGGCGGCUCUCUAGUACGGUACUGACGCUGAGACGCGAAAGCGUGGGGAGCGAACAGG